UACAGAGGGGGCAAGCGUUGUUCGGAAUUACUGGGCGUAAAGGGCGCGUAGGCGGCCUUCUAAGUCGAACGUGAAAUCCCCGGGCUCAACCCGGGAACUGCGUCCGAUACUGGAAGGCUUGAAUCCGGAAGAGGGAUGCGGAAUUCCAGGUGUAGCGGUGAAAUGCGUAGAUAUCUGGAGGAACACCGGUGGCGAAGGCGGCAUCCUGGACCGGCAUUGACGCUGAGGCGCGAAAGCCAGGGGAGCAAACGGG
rnacentral:rRNA from 1 species